rnacentral:SRP_RNA from 1 species
GCUGGGUGUGGCGGCUCAUGCCUGUAGUCCCAGCUACUCAGGAGGCUGAGGUGGGAGGAUCGCUUGAGCCCAGGAGUUCUGGGCUAUGGUGCACUAUGCCGAUCGGGUGUCUGCACUAAGUUUGGCACCAACACGGUGACCUCUGGGAGUAGGGGGCCACCAGGUUACCUAAGGAGGAAUGAACCGGCCCAAGUCAGAAACAGAGUGGAUCACAACUCCUGUGCUGAUCAGUAGUGGGAUCACACCUGUGAAUAGCCACUGCACUCCAACCUGGGCAACAUAGUGAGACCCCAUCUCU